rnacentral:lncRNA from 1 species
CUAGAAGGGCCUCAGGAGGAAGGCAGGGGACCAGAGUGAGGCAGUGGAGCAGUGUGGGGCCAGGCAGGCCCACCUGGGAGAGGAAGGUGGAGGGGAUGGCCUGGGAGCAGAGGGUCCUCUCCCGAGGUGUGGAAACCAAGGGAGGUGAAGGUUCUGGGGAAGUCAGGUGGGACAGGACAGAAACGUGCCUGCGGGGUGAGCAGCACAGGUGCUGGUGUCACCUUUGGGAAUCUUUUCCAGGGAAGUGGUCACCCAGGGUUUGUGGGCUGAGCGAGAGGGAGGGUAGGGAGUGAGUGAGAGGGGCCGGGGGAGCGAUAGUGAGGGGUCGGGAGGGGACAGCUCUGAGUGCAGCUGAAGUGAGGCCAACAGCUCUGAUAAGAGAGAAGCCAGCAGUGGGCAAACGCAGGCCCACCUGAGGUCCUGAAGGAACCCCCCCGGAGCCCAGAGGACGUCAUGUGUCUCCGGGACCCCUUCCUCCGCCGCACCCGCCCCGGUGGUCCGCGGAUGCCCGCCCUUGCCGCUCAGCCACUCCCCCCGCACCGAGGCCUAGGACUCCCC